AGGUAGCUGCAGUGCGCCGAUGGUUGUGCGUAUUUAAGGUUGUGGCCCGUCUCCUAGGUAAAUCCGGGGGGCAUGAUGGGUGAGAACUGAUGAGGGUGACACGAUAGUGCCAUCUUGUGGUGAUCCUAUGCUGCCGAGAAAAGCCUCGACGUGAGGGCAUGACGCGCCCGUACCCUAAACCGACUCAGGUGGUCAGGUAGAGUAUACCGAGGCGUUCGAGUGAAUCAUGGUUAAGGAACUCGGCAAAAUUCCUCCGUAACUUCGGGAUAAGGAGGACCCCGUGACUUGCUCCCACCGUGCGUGGGUGUUGGGUUGUGGGGUCGCAGAGAAUAGGGAGAAGCGACUGUUUAUCAAAAACACAGGUGCGUGCGAAGCCGUAAGGCGAUGUAUACGCACUGACGCCUGCCCGGUGCUGGAAGGUUAAGAGGAACCGUUAACAUUCUUUGUGGGUGUGAAGCGGUGAAUUUAAGCCCCAGUAAACGGCGGUGGUAACUAUAACCAUCCUAAGGUAGCGAAAUUCCUUGUCGGGUAAGUUCCGACCUGCACGAAUGGCGUAACGACUUCUCCGCUGUCUCAACCGCGAACUCGGUGAAAUUGCAGUACGAGUAAAGAUGCUCGUUUCGCGCAGAAGGACGGAAAGACCCCGGGACCUUUACUAUAGCUUGGUAUUGGUGUUCGCUUGGACUUGUGUAGGAUAGGUGGGAGACUGUGAAGCUGCCGCGCCAGCGGUGGUGGAGUCGUCGUUGAAAUACCAUUCUGGUUUAAGCGGUCACCUUAACCUUGGCCCGUGAUCCGGGUUGGGGACAGUGCCUGGUGGGUAGUUUAACUGGGGCGGUUGCCUCCUAAAAUGUAACGGAGGCGCUCAAAGGUUCCCUCAGCCUGGUUGGUAAUCAGGUGGCGAGUGCAAGUGUACAAGGGAGCUUGACUGUGAGACCGACGGGUCGAGCAGGUGCGAAAGCAGGAACUAGUGAUCCGGCCAUGGCACGUGGGUGCGUGGUCGCUCAACGGAUAAAAGGUACCCCGGGGAUAACAGGCUGAUCUUGCCCAAGAGUCCAUAUCGACGGCAUGGUUUGGCACCUCGAUGUCGGCUCGUCGCAUCCUGGGGCUGGAGUCGGUCCCAAGGGUUGGGCUGUUCGCCCAUUAAAGCGGUACGCGAGCUGGGUUCAGAACGUCGUGAGACAGUUCGGUCCCUAUCCUCUGUGCGCGCAGGAAAUUUGAGAAGGGCCGUCCCCAGUACGAGAGGACCGGGAUGGACGAACCUCUGGUGUGCCAGUUGUACCGCCAGGUGCAUGGCUGGUUAGCUACGUUCGGAAGGGAUAACCGCUGAAAGCAUCUAAGCGGGAAGCCUGCU
rnacentral:rRNA from 1 species